rnacentral:rRNA from 1 species
UACGUAGGGUGCAAGCGUUAAUCGGAAUUACUGGGCGUAAAGCGUGCGCAGGCGGUUAUGUAAGACAGGUGUGAAAUCCCCGGGCUUAACCUGGGAACUGCAUUGUGACUGCAUAGCUAGAGUACGGUAGAGGGGGAUGGAAUUCCGCGUGUAGCAGUGAAAUGCGUAGAUAUGCGGAGGAAGCACCGAUGGCGAAGGCAAUCCCCUGGACCUGUACUGACGCUCAUGCACGAAAGCGUGGGGAGC